rnacentral:tRNA from 1 species
CGCUCGGUAGCUUAGUUGGUAAAGCGCUCGUCUAGCAUACAAGAGUCCUGGGUUCGAAUUCCAGUCGAGCAU